GGGGGUAUAGCUCAGUGGUCUAAAGCAUUCGACUGCAGAUCGAGAGAUCCCUGGUUCGAAUCCGGGUGCCCCCU
rnacentral:tRNA from 1 species